AUUGAACGCUGGCGGCAGGCUUAACACAUGCAAGUCGAGCGGAGUGAUGGUGCUUGCACUAUCACUUAGCGGCGGACGGGUGAGUAAUGCUUAGGAAUCUGCCAUUUAGUGGGGGACAACAUUCCGAAAGGAAUGCUAAUACCGCAUACGUCCUACGGGAGAAAGCAGGGGAUCUUCGGACCUUGCGCUAAUAGAUGAGCCUAAGUCGGAUUAGCUAGUUGGUGGGGUAAAGGCCUACCAAGGCGACGAUCUGUAGCGGGUCUGAGAGGAUGAUCCGCCACACUGGGACUGAGACACGGCCCAGACUCCUACGGGAGGCAGCAGUGGGGAAUAUUGGACAAUGGGGGGAACCCUGAUCCAGCCAUGCCGCGUGUGUGAAGAAGGCCUUAUGGUUGUAAAGCACUUUAAGCGAGGAGGAGGCUACUCUAGUUAAUACCUAGGGAUAGUGGACGUUACUCGCAGAAUAAGCACCGGCUAACUCUGUGCCAGCCGCCGCAGUAAAAC
rnacentral:rRNA from 1 species